rnacentral:sRNA from 1 species
GUUUCAAUUCCUCAUAGGCAGGCUAUCGGCCUCGGGUGUCGUGGCCGUCGGUCGAUACCUGGGGUAG